AGUAACAUUACCACCAGCUUCUACAUCAGAGCUGACACGGUGAUAAUAGCUAGCACGGAAUACACUGAGAUUGUUGGAAGCUUGAAGGGCAACAGAAAGAGGACUAGCCAAGUAACCGAUAGUAGCAGCAUAGUUAGAAACAUUGCCCUUUUGAACAUCAUAACCAAAUUCAGCACCAGCCAAGAAUCCCUCGUGGCCGACAGUAAAGUCACCAAGGAACUUGCGCUCCAACGCGUUUACAGAAGCAUGUGUAUGUAUUAAAGGAUGUUGAUGCUCCAAAUUGAGAAUAGCAGUCUUGGCGGCAGUUGCAGGGCUAAAAGUCGUGUUGACGUUAAGGUGCAAUCCUGGAGCGAACUGCUCACUUAAACCAACCUUGGAUUCAAGGACGUUGGCAGUAGUCCAUCCUUGUGAGAUGGUCAAGCCAUUGGCCUUGUCGUUGAAGCUGGUUUCAAGUUUACCAGAGAUAACACCCUUGGCGUCCUGAUUACCAGAGACAUUGAAGACGACUCCGUUGGGAGCGGUAGUGCGAACGCUCAAUAAGGUAGCUCCGACAGGGAAAUCGCGUUGCAAUAAGUCGUUGCAUAAUUUGUUAAUAGCGGCAUAAGCAGGUGGAGCCAUUGUUGCUAAUCAAUCGAGUAUAGUAUAAUGAGAUCACGAGGAAAAAGAACAAGCAGAUAAAUGUAAAAUAAUU